GCGUGGGGAUCAAACAGGAUUAGAUACCCUGGUAGUCCACGCAGUAAACGAUGAUUACUAGGAGUUUGCGAUACAAUGUAAGCUCUACAGCGAAAGCGUUAAGUAAUCCACCUGGGGAGUACGCCGGCAACGGUGAAACUCAAAGGAAUUGACGGGGGCCCGCACAAGCGGAGGAACAUGUGGUUUAAUUCGAUGAUACGCGAGGAACCUUACCCGGGCUUGAAUUGCAGAGGAAGGAUUUGGAGACAAUGACGCCCUUCGGGGUCUCUGUGAAGGUGCUGCAUGGUUGUCGUCAGCUCGUGCCGUGAGGUGUCGGCUUAAGUGCCAUAACGAGCGCAACCCCUGUUCUCAGUUGCCAUCGGGUGAUGCCGGGCACUCUGUGAAGACUGCCUCCGCAAGGAGUGAGGAAGGUGGGGAUGACGUCAAAUCAGCACGGCCCUUACGUCCGGGGCUACACACGUGUUACAAUGGUAGGUACAGAGGGCAGCUACCCAGCGAUGGGAUGCGAAUCUCGAAAGCCUAUCUCAGUUCGGAUUGGAGGCUGAAACCCGCCUCCAUGAAGUUGGAUUCGCUAGUAAUCGCGCAUCAGCCAUGGCGCGGUGAAUACGUUCCCGGGCCUUGUACACACCGCCCGUCAAGCCAUGAAAGCCGGGGGCGCCUAAAGUCCGUGACCGUAAGGAGCGGCCUAGGGCGAAACUGGUAAUUGGGGCUAAGUCGUAACAAGGUAGCCGUACCGGAAGGUGCGGCUG
rnacentral:rRNA from 1 species